GGAAACGUGUCAAAAGGAGAUGCGGGGUGCAUUUUAAGCUCAACAAUACUGGAUUCAUACAAUCUCUGCCAAACUCGCGCAUUUUUUAAAUUUUCACUAUUUUUUAAUUCCCGAAAUUUCAAAACCUCCAUUUUUUCGGAACGUAUUUACAGAGAGAGUUUUAGUGAGAGGAGAGAGAGAGAGAGAGAGAGGGAGAGCUCUGUUGAUAAAGAGAAAAACCUAGAGAGAAGCAGUAGGAGGAGACAGAGGAACGAAAUGAAGGGUACCCUAGGAAGGCAUUUGACGGUUCAGCUAGGUCAAGUUUCUCGCUUCCAGAAUCUUCUGGAAUCCGUAACCGCCGCCGACAACAUCGACGAUGAUGUCGAUAACAAAGAUUUCAUUCUGAGCCAAGACUUCUUCUGGUUUUUUCCCUGCACUUAUUGGUGGAGAUAGCCUUUCCCGAUAUCACACAGAUUUCCAUGAGAUUGAGGAACUUCAGUCGUGUUUUCAAGGUUCUGAAGAGAAUUGAUGGUUGC